GCGUAUAUGUUUUCGCGACUAUGAUUUUGAUCGCAAUUUGUUCUAAGUGUUACGUCUGUUUCUCUGUGUUCCCACGAUUUCCACUUUUACUUUCGUUUGACGUAAGAAUAUUUUUGUUUUGAUUCUUUCUUCCUGUUAGAAUGACUAUUCGGAUGGGCGCUCAAUAAUCACUUUGGUUCACAAAAGUUAUCCGUAGUUUUGUGUUCGUGAUUAUUGCUUCUCACGAAUAUGCUUCCUAAUGAAUUGGGUAAGCUAUUGUUAUGUAAAAUGGAAACUCAUUCGCAUUUACUGGUUCACAAUCGACACGGGAUUGGUCGCUUUUUAUACACUGAUAAAAAUCACAAUCCACUAUUAGUCAGGAACUUCUAUCCUUAUCGUACUGCUGUCCGGAUUCUUAAGCCUUAGUGCAAAAGCGGAUGAUUGGGAAACUUUGCCAAGGGAGAAAUCUUCCACCACACACUUGCUUCACACUCUAAAGAAAGGCUUUGAAAGCUGAUCAUGGGACGUUCAGCCGAACCACAACAGUACACACGAAAUGUCCGUAAUAGACUGAAGUCGAAGGUUUUGCCUUACUCCGCACGUAAUCUUCCACGCUGACCGUCCGUGUCGUCGUGAUUCGUGAGUGGCCAUGUAGCGAAGUAAGUAGCAGCAGUUCGGCUGCCCAAAGCUGACCGAAAAACCAGUCAGCGCGAAAAGGAAACCCGCUGCUGGCCGCCACUGGGUUUCACACCACUAUACCUCUUUUCCAAAAACUGUCCGACGACGUGCAACAGUGUGACGGACGGAGCUCGAUGUGUCCGUAUGGUCGCUAGUAAUAUGGCACGUUCGCACAUCUGACGAUGUUGGCCAUUAUCGCGAGCGAUCGAUAUUUGUGCGACCAUGCGCAUACCAUCACACGAACAGAGAGUUUUAACUGUGCUAAUAGUACAUAAAUCGAAAAUUUUAUUUUUAGUACGAAUUAAUUAAUAAAUAUGUGUUUGAAUGAGCCGUUUUCAAGUUAA